rnacentral:rRNA from 1 species
CGCUGGCGGCAGGCCUAACACAUGCAAGUCGAACGGUAACAGGAAGAAGCUUGCUUCUUUGCUGACGAGUGGCGGACGGGUGAGUAAUGUCUGGGAAACUGCCUGAUGGGGGGGGAUAACUACUGGAAACGGUAGCUAAUACCGCAUAACGUCGCAAGACCAAAGAGGGGGACCUUCGGGCCUCUUGCCAUCGGAUGUGCCCAGAUGGGAUUAGCUUGUUGGUGGGGUAACGGCUCACCAAGGCGACGAUCCCUAGCUGGUCUGAGAGGAUGACCAGCCACACUGGAACUGAGACACGGUCCAGACUCCUACGGGAGGCAGCAGUGGGGAAUAUUGCACAAUGGGCGCAAGCCUGAUGCAGCCAUGCCGCGUGUAUGAAGAAGGCCUUCGGGUUGUAAAGUACUUUCAGCGGGGAGGAAGGGAGUAAAGUUAAUACCUUUGCUCAUUGACGUUACCCGCAGAAGAAGCACCGGCUAACUCCGUGCCAGCAGCCGCGGUAAUACGGAGGGUGCAAGCGUUAAUCGGAAUUACUGGGCGUAAAGCGCACGCAGGCGGUUUGUUAAGUCAGAUGUGAAAUCCCCGGGCUCAACCUGGGAACUGCAUCUGAUACUGGCAAGCUUGAGUCUCGUAGAGGGGGGUAGAAUUCCAGGUGUAGCGGUGAAAUGCGUAGAGAUCUGGAGGAAUACCGGUGGCGAAGGCGGCCCCCUGGACGAAGACUGACGCUCAGGAGCGAAAGCGUGGGGAGCAAACAGGAUUAGAUACCCUGGUAGUCCACGCCGUAAACGAUGUCGACUUGGAGGUUGUGCCCUUGAGGCGUGGCUUCCGGAGCUAACGCGUUAAGUCGACCGCCUGGGGAGUACGGCCGCAAGGUUAAAACUCAAAUGAAUUGACGGGGGCCCGCACAAGCGGUGGAGCAUGUGGUUUAAUUCGAUGCAACGCGAAGAACCUUACCUGGUCUUGACAUCCACGGAAGUUUUCAGAGAUGAGAAUGUGCCUUCGGGAACCGUGAGACAGGUGCUGCAUGGCUGUCGUCAGCUCGUGUUGUGAAAUGUUGGGUUAAGUCCCGCAACGAGCGCAACCCUUAUCCUUUGUUGCCAGCGGUCCGGCCGGGAACUCAAAGGAGACUGCCAGUGAUAAACUGGAGGAAGGUGGGGAUGACGUCAAGUCAUCAUGGCCCUUACGACCAGGGCUACACACGUGCUACAAUGGCGCAUACAAAGAGAAGCGACCUCGCGAGAGCAAGCGGACCUCAUAAAGUGCGUCGUAGUCCGGAUUGGAGUCUGCAACUCGACUCCAUGAAGUCGGAAUCGCUAGUAAUCGUGGAUCAGAAUGCCACGGUGAAUACGUUCCCGGGCCUUGUACACACCGCCCGUCACACCAUGGGAGUGGGUUGCAAAAGAAGUAGGUAGCUUAACCUUCGGGAGGGCGCUUACCACUUUGUGAUUCAUGACUGGGGUGAAGUCG